GGCUCAGAGCGAACGUUAGCGGCGGGCCUAACACAUGCAAGUCGAACGCGAAAGGUCUUCGGACUGAGUAGAGUGGCGCACGGGUGAGUAACACGUAGGUAAUCUACCCUUUGGCGGGGGAUAACGUUCCGAAAGGAGCGCUAAUACCGCAUAAGACCACGGAGUCUCCGGACGCUGUGGGAAAAGGUGGCCUCUUCUUGAAAGCUACCACCGAAGGAUGAGCCUGCGUCCCAUCAGCUAGUUGGUAAGGUAAUGGCUUACCAAGGCGAAGACGGGUAGCUGGUUUGAGAGAAUGAUCAGCCACACUGGCACUGGAACACGGGCCAGACUCCUACGGGAGGCAGCAGUGAGGAAUAUUAGGCAAUGGGCGAAAGCCUGACCCAGCCACGCCGCGUGAGUGAUGAAGGCCCUCGGGUCGUAAAGCUCUGUGGAGAGGGACGAAAACCCUGGUUUCAAAUAGGCUCCAGGCUUGACGGUACCUCUUUAGCAAGCACCGGCUAACUCUGUG
rnacentral:rRNA from 1 species